rnacentral:rRNA from 1 species
CACGUAGGGUGCGAGCGUUGUCCGGAAUUAUUGGGCGUAAAGAGCUCGUAGGCGGUUUGUCGCGUCUGCCGUGAAAGUCCGGGGCUCAACUCCAGAUCUGCGGUGGGUACGGGCAGACUAGAGUGAUGUAGGGGAGACUGGAAUUCCUGGUGUAGCGGUGAAAUGCGCAGAUAUCAGGAGGAACACCGAUGGCGAAGGCAGGUCUCUGGGCAUUAACUGACGCUGAGGAGCGAAAGCAUGGGGAGCGAACAGG